CUCCUGGAUCUCCGCAACGAUCUACCAUCCAAAUUCUAGAAAAUAGCGAAGAAUCGCCAGCUUUGUGUGCUCAACAAGAAACAAAUCCUUGCUCUAUUAAUGAACAUGUUACUGCUCCAAGUGUUCCUGCUGUAGACGAUGAAGGGAUGUUUGGGGGAUUUUUCAGGGAAACUCUAGUUGACCUACAUCAGUGUGUACGUGCUAAUUGAGAUGCUUAAUCAGUUAGAUGUAGCAAACUCUAGCUAGCAAGCCUAUUUUUUGGUCAAACAUGUGAUGGCUGGUGAUGUCUUGGCAUCUACUGUAUGCAUGUGACGAUUGGUAUCUAUGUAUAUAUAUACACACACUAA